rnacentral:rRNA from 1 species
UGUACCCGCCGGUCUUAGCAUAUCAAUMAGCGGAGGAAAAGAAACMACCAGGGAUUGCCUUAGUARCGGCGAGUGAAGCGGCAACAGCUCAAAUUUGAAAGCUGKCCCUUUUAGGGUCCGCGUUGUAAUCUGUAGAGGAUGGUUCGGCGAGGGCUCCCGCCUWAGUCCCCUGGAACGGGGCGUCAUAGAGGGKGAGAAUCCCGUAUGCGGKGGGUUGCCUUAWCCAUGUGAACCUCCUUCGACGAGUCGAGUUGUUUGGGAAUGCAGCUCUAAAUGGGAGGUAAAUUUCUUCUAAAGCUAAAUACCGGCCAGAGACCGAUAGCGCACAAGUAGAGUGAUCGAAAGAUGAAAAGCACUUUGGAAAGAGAGUUAAAAAGUACGUGAAAUUGUUGAAAGGGAAGCGCUUGCAACCAGACUUGUCCGCAGUUGCUCAGCCGGUCUCCUGACCGGCGUACUCUUCUGCGGCCAGGCCAGCAUCAGUUCGGGCGGUCGGAUAAAGGCCUCGGGAAUGUGGCUCCUCUCGGGGAGUGUUAUAGCCCGGGGCGGAAUGCGGCCAGCCUGGACUGAGGAUCUCGCUUCGGCAAGGAUGCUGGCGUAAUGGUUGUAAGCGGCCCGUCUUGAAACACGGACCAAGGAGUCUAACAUCUAUGCGAGUGUUUGGGUGUCAAACCCAUACGCGUAAUGAAAGUGAACGGAGGUGGGAACCCGCAAGGGCGCACCAUCGGCCGAUCCUGAUGUCUUCGGAUGGAUUUGAGCAAGAGCAUAGCUGUUGGGACCCGAAAGAUGGUGAACUAUGCCUGAAUAGGGUGAAGCCAGAGGAAACUCUGGUGGAGGCUCGCAGCGGUUCUGACGUGCAAAUCGAUCGUCAAAUUUGGGUAUAGGGGCGAAAGACUAAUCGAACCAUCUAGGGGUUCCUGCCGAAGUUCCCCCUCAGGAU